AUGUCACCUUCACUGACUGCUGUGCUCGGAGUACUGAAAAAAAAAAAAACCGACUUGGACAUCUUUGAGAAAGAGAGUGCUGUUUUCAAACUCCUCUUGGAUUUGAAGCAUUGUUUUGACAUCUUAGAGAAGGAUGAAAGCCCAGGGAAUGACUCCGACUUCCUUUAGGGUGGAUCUUCUGACUUCUAUCAACCUAAUCAAGAUAGCCCCCAACGAGCAUGCUCAGAGUCAAGCUAACCUGAUAAGUCCUUGCAGGUGUGCCUGAAGGUGUAUCUCCGGGGAGAUUUCUGAUCCAGUCACGUUGACAUUCAACUAUCCCAGACUUCUUUCUGAAGAACCUGAUGAAACUGUUAUGGUUUGUCACCUGGGAGGCCGAGUCAGGGCUGAUGCACAAAACCAACAAAUGACAACAAAACAAGAAAUGACCCUCUUUAAUCAGAAACCAAAAUUUGCGUAUCUCUUGCUGCCC